rnacentral:rRNA from 1 species
GCGGAGGAAAAGAAACCAACAGGGAUUGCCUCAGUAACGGCGAGUGAAGCGGCAUCAGCUCAAAUUUGAAAUCUGGCCUCGCGGUCCGAGUUGUAAUUUGUAGAGAACGCUUCGGGCGAGGUCCGGUCUAAGUUCCUUGGAACAGGACGUCAUAGAGGGUGAGAAUCCCGUAUGCGACCGGUCGCCUCCGCCCAUGUGAAGCUUCUUCGACGAGUCGAGUUGUUUGGGAAUGCAGCUCAAAAUGGGUGGUAUAUUUCAUCUAAAGCUAAAUAUUGGCCAGAGACCGAUAGCGCACAAGUAGAGUGAUCGAAAGAUGAAAAGCACUUUGGAAAGAGAGUUAAAUAGUACGUGAAAUUGUUGAAAGGGAAGCGCUUGCAACCAGACUUGCGCGCGGCCGAUCAUCCGGUGUUCUCACCGGUGCACUCGGCCGCGCUCAGGCCAGCAUCGGUUCCGGCGGUUGGAUAAAGGUCCCGGGAAUGUAGCUCCUCUCGGGGAGUGUUAUAGCCCGGGGCGCAAUGCAGCCUGCUGGGACCGAGGACCGCGCUUCGGCUAGGAUGCUGGCGUAAUGGUUGUAAGCGACCCGUCUUGAAACACGGACCAAGGAGUCUAACAUCUAUGCGAGUGUUUGGGCGUUAAACCCAUACGCGUAAUGAAAGUGAACGGAGGUGAGAACCCUUAAGGGUGCAUCAUCGACCGAUCCUGAUGUCUUG